GGCACUAUAGCCAAGUGGUUACGGCAACAGAUGAGGAUUUCUAUGUUUGUCUACUUGGUUCCAUCUGUUCCUCUUUGAGGUCAGGUUCAAAUACUGCUGGUGUCG